rnacentral:lncRNA from 10 species
CCGCUUGAGUCCUGUUCCACGCUGUGGAAACUUUGUUUUUUUUUCUUUGCAAUAAAUCUUGCCACUGGCUCACGGUUUGGGUGAGGCACUGCAUUUAUGAGCUAUGACACUCACUGGAAAGGUCUGCAGGUUCACUCCUGAAGUCAGUGAGACCACAAACCCACCGGGAGGAACGAACAAUCUUGGACGCGCCGCCUUUAAGAGCUGUAAGACUCACUGCGAAGGUCUGCGGCUUCACUUCUGAAGUCAGGAAGACCACGAACCCACCAGAAGGAAGAAACUCUGGACACAUCUUAACAUCUGAAGGAACAAACUCUGGACACACCGUCUUUAAGAAUUGUAACACUUGCUGUGAGAGUCUGCAGCUUCAUUCUUGAAGUCAGGGAGACCAAGAACCCACCAGAAGGAACCAGUUCCGGACGCACUUCCAGCCAGAUGAGUGGCUCUGCAGACUUCCAAAGGAGCCGCUUUCUGUGCAAGUUGGACCAAGUCUGUUUCUCCUGUCCAUGAGGAUAAGGGUCCUGGAUAUCCUAGGUCGCCUGGUGGAGGGGCCCUCGGGAAUCCAACGAUCACCACUGCAAGUCAGCCUCAGCACCAGCACUCAGAUGCAGGGGUGGCUGGCCUCAGGCUUCCUGGGCUGGGCCAAAUGCAAAGAAACCCAGGGGUCCUCUGCAUCCUGAGCCUGGCGCCAACCUGCAGUAGCAACAUGAGUGAGGCCCAGGAGCCUGCCAGGACUGGGUUUACGCCCCAGAGCCGCCACUCACUACUCAUCAGCUGGACAAAGAGCUUCUCUGAGUUUCAGUUUCCAGAUCUGCAAAAUAGGUGUAACAAUCCCUGUGUCUGAGCAUCUGCAGGGAGAUCAAAUUCUCGUCUCUGGAACAUGACAGCUUCCAAAUCUGAGCCAUCCUGUCACUUCUCUUGGGUCAAUUGGGGUUUCCACGAUGUCACCCCAUCAGACUGUCACUAACAUGGCCUGAGAGCCCUGGGCUCGGGGACUGCCAGCAUGGUAGGUUUCCCUCCCCGUACUCCUGCCGUUACUUCCCUGAUGAGACCAUCCCCCAGAGAAGGGAAAGGAGGGCAGUUUCGUUCAUUUAGUGCAGAGCCUGGGAGGUGGGAGGAGCCUGGGCUAGCUUCAUUUUUUUGAGGUUCUUGGUAUGCUACAGAUGAGAAGGUUGCAGUGAUUGUGGUAUAAUUUCAGUGUUCUCACAACAAAUUAGAACACAGCAUACUUGUGGUGUUGACAGGACAACUGCAGAACUCAGUACAUUUCCUGGGGAGUUCUGAGUGGUGCAGUCUUAGGGCAGGAUACAAGCUUUGGGUCUCAGGAUGGCUGUCCACUUCUGCUGGAUCUGGGGUGCACCCUUACAGUCUGAAUUUCUAGAAAAAGGCAUAAUCAAACCCCCUGCAGAACUUUCACGGGAUCCCAUUCAAAUAAAACAGGGUGGAGGGACACGUUGAGAUGUUUGGAAAUAUCUGAAUAAGGGUGGGAUAUGGGGUUAUUUUAGGGAAUUCAUUGUUCAUAGGGAAUUCACUGUUCAUUGUCCCAGCCGUGAUAGCAUGGAAGAACAGCCCAAAGGGUCAUAAGAUAGUUCAGGAAAGAGCUUUACAAGUCAAAGUGACAGAGCAGCAGGUCCCCAACACUUUUGACACCAGGGACCAGGUUUAGUGGAAGACAAUUUCUCCAUGGACUGGAAUCAGGCUGGGGGUGGUUUUGAGAUGAUUCAAGCACAUUACAUUUAUUGUGCACUUUAAUUCUAUUAUUAUUAACUUGUAAUAUAUAAUGAAAUAUUAUACAACUCACCAUAAUGUAGAUCAGUGGGAGCCCUGAGCUUGUUUUCCUGCAACUAGACAGUCCCAUCUGGAGGUGAUGGAAGACAGUGACAGAUCAUCAGGCAUUAGAUUCUCAUAAGGAGCACGGAACCUAGAUCCCUCGCACACACAGUUCACGGUACGGCUCACGCUCCUAUGAGAAUUCAGUGCUGCUGCUGAUGUGACAGGAGGUGGAGCUUAGGUGGUAACGUGAGCAAUGGGGAGCAGCUGUAAAUACAGAUGAGGCUUCACUCGCUCACCAGCCUGCUCCGUGAGGUUGGGGACCCGUCAGAUACAGCAUUUAUGACCACAUGAUAACCACAGCUGAAUCCAGGUGGUGGGAUACACAGCUGCUUCAUUGUACCAAUCUCAACUUUUUCAUGUAUUUGAAAUUUUUCAUUAGAAGAGAGUAAAUUUUUUGG